rnacentral:rRNA from 1 species
GAUGAACGCUAGCGGCAGGCUUAACACAUGCAAGUCGAGGGGCAGCAUGAAGGUUAGCAAUAACCUUUGAUGGCGACCGGCGCAAGGGUGCGUAACGCGUGAGCAACUUGCCCGUCACAGGGGUAUAAUCGAUGGAAACGUCGUCUAAUCCCCCAUAUAAUCAUUAUGCCGCAUGGUGAGAUGAUGAAAGCUAAUUGUGGUGACGGAUGGGCAUGCGGUGCAUUAGCUAGUAGGCGGGGUAACGGCCCACCUAGGCUACGAUGCAUAGGGGUUCUGAGAGGAAGGUCCCCCANACUGGUACUGAGACACGGACCAGACUCCUACGGGAGGCAGCAGUGAGGAAUAUUGGUCAAUGGUCGAGAGACUGAACCAGCCAAGUCGCGUGAAGGAAGACGGUUCUAUGGAUUGUAAACUUCUUUAGUCGGGAGCAAAAAGAGUGACGUGUCACUAAAUUGAGCGUACCCGAAGAAUAAGCA